UGCGAUAUACAGGAAGACCCGCUGAACUGAAGCA
rnacentral:rRNA from 1 species